AGCGAACGCUGGCGGCAGGCCUAAACAUGCAAGUCGAACGCCGUAGCAAUACGGAGUGGCAGACGGGUGAGUAACGCGUGGGAACGUACCCUUUGGUUCGGAACAACACAGGGAAACUUGUGCUAAUACCGGAUAAGCCCUUACGGGGAAAGAUUUAUCGCCAAAGGAUCGGCCCGCGUCUGAUUAGCUUGUUGGUGAGGUAACGGCUCACCAAGGCUACGAUCAGUAGCUGGUCUGAGAGGAUGAUCAGCCACACUGGGACUGAGACACGGCCCAGACUCCUACGGGAGGCAGCAGUUAGGAAUCUUGGACAAUGGGCGGCAAGCCUGAUCCAGCCAUGCCGCGUGAGUGAUGAAGGCCUUAGGGUUGUAAAGCUCUUUCAGCGGGGAAGAUAAUGACGGUACCCGCAGAAGAACGCCCCGGCUAACUUCGUGCCAGCAGCCGCAAGU
rnacentral:rRNA from 1 species